UACGGAGGUGGCAAGCGUUAUCCGGAUUUACUUGGGUUUAAAGGGUGCGUAGGCGGGUCUUUAAGUCAGGGGUGAAAUCCUGGAGCUCAACUCCAGAACUGCCUUUGAUACUGAGGAUCUUGAGUCCGGGAGAGGUGAGUGGAACUGCGAGUGUAGAGGUGAAAUUCGUAGAUAUUCGCAAGAACACCAGUGGCGAAGGCGGCUCACUGGCCCGGUACUGACGCUGAGGUGCGAAAGCGUGGGGAGCAACAGGAUUAAGAAACCCGG
rnacentral:rRNA from 1 species